rnacentral:rRNA from 1 species
UACGUAGGUGGCAAGCGUUGUCCGGAUUUAUUGGGUUUAAAGGGUGCGUAGGCGGCUUAAUAAGUCAGUGGUGAAAGCCGAUCGCUUAACGAUCGAACUGCCAUUGAUACUGCUAGGCUUGAGUAUAGAUGAGGUAGGCGGAAUUGACAGUGUAGCGGUGAAAUGCAUAGAUAUUGUCAAGAACACCAAUUGCGAAGGCAGCUUACUAAGUUAUAACUGACGCUGAGGCACGAAAGUGCGGGGAUCAAACAGG